UAGGGAAUUUUCGGCAAUGGGGGGAACCCUGACCGAGCAAUGCCGCGUGAAUGAAGACGAUCUUCGGAUUGUAAAGUUCUGUUAUUGGGAAAGAAAGAUAUGGCGAGGAAAUGCGUUAUAUUUGACGGUACCUGAUGAGAAAGCCCCGGCUAACUAUGUGCCAGCAGCCGCGGUAAUACAUAGGGGGCAAGCGUUAUCCGGAAUUAUUGGGCGUAAAGAGUGCGUAGGCGGAUGAUUAAGUCUGGUGUAAAAUUUCACAGCUUAACUGUGGAGGGUCAUUGGAAACUGGUCAACUAGGGUACGGUAGAGGUAAGCGGAAUUCCAAGUGGAGCGGUAAAAUGCGUAGUUAUUUGGAGGAACACCAGUGGCGAAGGCGACUUACUGGUCCGGGACUGACGCUGAUGCACGAAAGCGUGGGGAGCAAACAG
rnacentral:rRNA from 1 species